UACGAAGGGGGCUAGCGUUGUUCGGAAUUACUGGGCGUAAAGCGCGCGCAGGCGGUCUUCCAAGUCAGUGGUGAAAGCCCGGAGCUCAACUCCGGAACUGCCAUUGAAACUGUUAGACUUGAGGAUGAGAGAGGUGAGUGGAAUUCCCAGUGUAGAGGUGAAAUUCGUAGAUAUUGGGAAGAACACCGGUGGCGAAAGCGGCUCACUGGACCAUAACUGACGCUGAUGCACGAAAGCUGGGGGAGCAAACAGG
rnacentral:rRNA from 1 species